GGGUUGUGAGGUUAAGCGACUAAGCGUACACGGUGGAUGCCCUGGCAGUCAGAGGCGAUGAAGGACGUGCUAAUCUGCGAUAAGCGCCGGUAAGGUGAUAUGAACCGUUAUAACCGGCGAUUUCCGAAUGGGGAAACCCAGUGUGAUUCGUCACACUAUCAUUAACUGAAUCCAUAGGUUAAUGAGGCGAACCGGGGGAACUGAAACAUCUAAGUACCCCGAGGAAAAGAAAUCAACCGAGAUUCCCCAGUAGCGGCGAGCGAACGGGGAGGAGCCCAGAGCCUGAAUCAGCAUGUGUGUUAGUGGAAGCGUCUGGAAAGGUGCGCGAUACAGGGUGACAGCCCCGUACACAAAAGCGCAUGUGCUGUGAGCUCGAUGAGUAGGGCGGGACACGUGGUAUCCUGUCUGAAUAUGGGGGGACCAUCCUCCAAGGCUAAAUACUCCUGACUGACCGAUAGUGAACCAGUACCGUGAGGGAAAGGCGAAAAGAACCCCGGCGAGGGGAGUGAAAAAGAACCUGAAACCGUGUACGUACAAGCAGUGGGAGCACCCUUCGGGGUGUGACUGCGUACCUUUUGUAUAAUGGGUCAGCGACUUAUAUUCUGUAGCAAGGUUAACCGUAUAGGGGAGCCGGAGGGAAACCGAGUCUUAACCGGGCGUUAAGUUGCAGGGUAUAGACCCGAAACCCGGUGAUCUAGCCAUGGGCAGGUUGAAGGUUGGGUAACACUAACUGGAGGACCGAACCGACUAAUGUUGAAAAAUUAGCGGAUGACCUGUGGCUGGGGGUGAAAGGCCAAUCAAACCGGGAGAUAGCUGGUUCUCCCCGAAAGCUAUUUAGGUAGCGCCUCGUGAAUUCAUCUCCGGGGGUAGAGCACUGUUUCGGCUAGGGGGCCAUCCCGGCUUACCAACCCGAUGCAAACUGCGAAUACCGGAGAAUGUUAUCACGGGAGACACACGGCGGGUGCUAACGUCCGUCGUGAAGAGGGAAACAACCCAGACCGCCAGCUAAGGUCCCAAAGUCAUGGUUAAGUGGGAAACGAUGUGGGAAGGCCCAGACAGCCAGGAUGUUGGCUUAGAAGCAGCCAUCAUUUAAAGAAAGCGUAAUAGCUCACUGGUCGAGUCGGCCUGCGCGGAAGAUGUAACGGGGCUAAACCAUGCACCGAAGCUGCGGCAGCGACGCUGAUGCGUUGUUGGGUAGGGGAGCGUUCUGUAAGCCUGCGAAGGUGACCUGUGAGGGUUGCUGGAGGUAUCAGAAGUGCGAAUGCUGACAUAAGUAACGAUAAAGCGGGUGAAAAGCCCGCUCGCCGGAAGACCAAGGGUUCCUGUCCAACGUUAAUCGGGGCAGGGUGAGUCGACCCCUAAGGCGAGGCCGAAAGGCGUAGUCGAUGGGAAACGGGUUAAUAUUCCCGUACUUGGUGUUACUGCGAAGGGGGACGGAGAAGGCUAUGUUGGCCGGGCGACGGUUGUCCCGGUUUAAGCGUGUAGGUGUGUGUUCCAGGUAAAUCCGGUUCACUUUAACACUGAGGCGUGAUGACGAGGCACUACGGUGCUGAAGCAACAAAUGCCCUGCUUCCAGGAAAAGCCUCUAAGCAUCAGGUAACAUCAAAUCGUACCCCAAACCGACACAGGUGGUCAGGUAGAGAAUACCAAGGCGCUUGAGAGAACUCGGGUGAAGGAACUAGGCAAAAUGGUGCCGUAACUUCGGGAGAAGGCACGCUGACACGUAGGUGAAGUGAUUUACUCACGGAGCUGAAGUCAGUCGAAGAUACCAGCUGGCUGCAACUGUUUAUUAAAAACACAGCACUGUGCAAACACGAAAGUGGACGUAUACGGUGUGACGCCUGCCCGGUGCCGGAAGGUUAAUUGAUGGGGUCAGCGCAAGCGAAGCUCCUGAUCGAAGCCCCGGUAAACGGCGGCCGUAACUAUAACGGUCCUAAGGUAGCGAAAUUCCUUGUCGGGUAAGUUCCGACCUGCACGAAUGGCGUAAUGAUGGCCAGGCUGUCUCCACCCGAGACUCAGUGAAAUUGAACUCGCUGUGAAGAUGCAGUGUACCCGCGGCAAGACGGAAAGACCCCGUGAACCUUUACUAUAGCUUGACACUGAACAUUGAGCCUUGAUGUGUAGGAUAGGUGGGAGGCUUUGAAGUGUGGACGCCAGUCUGCAUGGAGCCGACCUUGAAAUACCACCCUUUAAUGUUUGAUGUUCUAACGUGGACCCGUAAUCCGGGUUGCGGACAGUGUCUGGUGGGUAGUUUGACUGGGGCGGUCUCCUCCUAAAGAGUAACGGAGGAGCACGAAGGUUGGCUAAUCCUGGUCGGACAUCAGGAGGUUAGUGCAAUGGCAUAAGCCAGCUUGACUGCGAGCGUGACGGCGCGAGCAGGUGCGAAAGCAGGUCAUAGUGAUCCGGUGGUUCUGAAUGGAAGGGCCAUCGCUCAACGGAUAAAAGGUACUCCGGGGAUAACAGGCUGAUACCGCCCAAGAGUUCAUAUCGACGGCGGUGUUUGGCACCUCGAUGUCGGCUCAUCACAUCCUGGGGCUGAAGUAGGUCCCAAGGGUAUGGCUGUUCGCCAUUUAAAGUGGUACGCGAGCUGGGUUUAGAACGUCGUGAGACAGUUCGGUCCCUAUCUGCCGUGGGCGCUGGAGAACUGAGGGGGGCUGCUCCUAGUACGAGAGGACCGGAGUGGACGCAUCACUGGUGUUCGGGUUGUCAUGCCAAUGGCACUGCCCGGUAGCUAAAUGCGGAAGAGAUAAGUGCUGAAAGCAUCUAAGCACGAAACUUGCCCCGAGAUGAGUUCUCCCUGAGACUUAGAGUCUCCUGAAGGAACGUUGAAGACGACGACGUUGAUAGGCCGGGUGUGUAAGCGCAGCGAUGCGUUGAGCUAACCGGUACUAAUGAACCGUGAGGCUUAACCUUACAACGCCGAAG
rnacentral:rRNA from 1 species